UACGAAGGGGGCUAGCGUUGUUCGGAAUCACUGGGCGUAAAGCGCACGCAGGCGGCUCGUUAAGUCAGGGGUGAAAUGCCGAGGCUCAACCUCGGAACUGCCUUUGAUACUGGCGAUCUUAGAGUCCGGGAGAGGUGAGUGGAACUCCGAGUGUAGAGGUGAAAUUCGUAGAUAUUCGGAAGAACACCAGUGGCGAAGGCGGCUCACUGGCCCGGUACUGACGCUCAGGUGCGAAAGCGUGGGGAGCAAACAGG
rnacentral:rRNA from 1 species